AGCAGAGGGGACCGACAGUGGGACACUUGGACCAACCCCAGGGGCUUUUUAGCAACAAGAAAGAAGUGAUUAGAAAAGCAUUAGGCUGAAAAAAGGGACACUGGAUUCAGACAGGGCAAGGUCACCAGAAUGGGAACUGGGUCAGCCAGGAGAGGAAUUAGGGUAACGAGAGGUGGACUUCUAUGUUAGGGAAAACAUAAAGUAGAGAAGUGUCUCAUCAGGGCAGAGCCGUGUCAUCAGGCUGAAAGAAGAAGGGGACAGACGGUGCCCCCUUGUGCACACCUCUGUAGCGACUUUAAAACGUGAGAGGGCGGACCCGCUCUCAGCGAGAGGCUGAACCAGUGAAGCGCCGGUGGAGAGAGUGGGAGGGCAUAUCGGUGUGUUUCUGGGUCGAAACAUAGGAGGAAACAUUGAGGAGCCACGGUGCCCACGAAACGAGCCGCAUCAACGCUGCUGCUGCCCCGUGUGAAUGUACGGAGGAGAGCAGACACCUCCAGGCAGAGCUCUGCGCUCUUAUCCAGCAGGGGAGCUGCACACAGAUGGGUGACCAUGUCGGCACUGACGGGCUGUGACAUCACCGUGAAGUCGUGGAAGCCAGCCGUACUGUCCUAACUCCACUUGGAGCUGUGCUUGCUUUCUACUAGAGUGCUCUUUGACGUUCUCUAGAAAGGACUUGCCAUUAUCUACC